GGGAGUCGGUGUGGACGCGAGGAGCCGGGCGCUUAGAACAGAGGCUUGCACAGGUGGAGAUGUGGAAGUCUGUAGUGGGCCAUGAUGUGUCUGUUUCCGUGGAGACCCAGGGUGAUGAUUGGGACACAGAUCCUGACUUUGUGAAUGACAUCUCUGAAAAGGAGCAACGAUGGGGAGCCAAGACCAUCGAGGGGUCUGGACGCACAGAACACAUCAAGUAGGUGCCAAAAGGACUGGAGAAAAGGAAGGGGGUUAUGGGAAGAGCCCAAAGAAAACUCGGAGACUUGGGGGAAGAUUUUAAAAAGUGUCAGUGGAUGACCACAUUGCACAAGCAACAUACUGUGAAAGCCUGGCACAAGUUUCUACAACUGCAGAAAUAAAUGGUUUCGGCCGGGCAUGGUGGCUUACGCUUGUAAUCCCAAAACUUUGGGAGGCCAAGCCAGGAAGAUCACUUGAGGUCAGGAGUUCAAGACCAGCU
rnacentral:sRNA from 1 species